GACGAACGCUGGCGGCGUGCUUAACACAUGCGAGUCGAACGGUGAAAGCGGAGCUUGCUCCGCUGGAUCAGUGGCGAACGGGUGAGUAACACGUGGGCAACCUGCCCCUCACUUCGGGAUAACUCCGGGAAACCGGGGCUAAUACCGGAUAUGACCUCCUUGGGCAUCCUUGGAGGUGGAAAGUUUUUCGGUGAGGGAUGGGCCCGCGGCCUAUCAGCUUGUUGGUGAGGUAGUGGCUCACCAAGGCGACGACGGGUAGCCGGCCUGAGAGGGCGACCGGCCACACUGGGACUGGGACACGGCCCAGACUCCUACGGGAGGCAGCAGUGGGGAAUAUUGCGCAAUGGGCGAAAGCCUGACGCAGCAACGCCGCGUGCGGGAUGACGGCCUUCGGGUUGUAAACCGCUUUUAGCAGGGAAGAAGCGAAAGUGACGGUACCUGCAGAAAAAGCACCGGCUAACUACGUGCCAGCCGCCGCCGUAA
rnacentral:rRNA from 1 species